rnacentral:rRNA from 1 species
UACGUAGGGGGCUAGCGUUGUCCGGAUUUAUUGGGCGUAAAGAGCUCGUAGGCGGCUAGUCGCGUCGACUGUGAAAACCCGGGGCUCAACUCCGGGCCUGCAGUCGAUACGGGCUGGCUUGAGUGCGGUAGGGGAGACUGGAAUUCCUGGUGUAGCGGUGAAAUGCGCAGAUAUCAGGAGGAACACCGGUGGCGAAGGCGGGUCUCUGGGCCGUAACUGACGCUGAGGAGCGAAAGCGUGGGGAGCGAACAGG